rnacentral:lncRNA from 1 species
CACCCCCAACUUCCAUCCUAUUUUCCAGUCUAUUAAAUGGUGGUGGCCACCCCACCACCACCUAGGUCCUGAGUUUCUCCUCAACCUUCAGACAGUUAGUGACAUGUACGCUGUUCACUCCACUCCCAUGGACCCUAUUUAUAAUUUCAUAAAUAAAAUAAACUAUUAUGAAAUUAUAUUUUGGCAUAUACAAGGAAUUUUUACAAAUCAAGAAGAAAACCAGGGGAACUACAGGAAAAAUAUCAACAUAAAAAUGGAUAUAGUCGACCGGACGUAGUGGCUUAUGCUUGUAAUCCCAGCACUUUGGGAGGCCAGGGUGGGUAGAACACCUGAGGUCAGGAGUUCGAGACCAGCCUGGCCAACAUGGUGAAACCCCGUCUCUACCAAAAAUACAAAAAAUAAAAAUAAAAAAUUAACCAGGCAUGGUGGCAGGUGCCUGUAGUCCCUCCCAGCUACUCGGGAGGCUGAGUCAGGAGAACUGCUUGAACCCGGAAGGCAGAGGUUGCAGUGAGCCAAGAUGGGGCCACUGCACUCCAGCCUGGGUGACAGAGUGAGAUUCAGUCUCUAAGAAAAAAAAAUAAAAAAGGAU